AAGAAUUUUCUCUUGAAGCAUCUCAUCAGUCUGUACCAGGUGUACUUACUGGAAGUAAAGCUUGCAAAAACAAACCUUCCUUGUCACUCUUAGUACGCUUUUCUGAAUUUAUUGUAUUCUUGCUUGAACCUGUCCAGGGCAACUUUACUCUGCAGAUAUGCUACUCCUGCUUAAAAGUGACAUCUUCUUACCUUAUGUGCAUUUCUAAGGCUGAUUCAUUCUUGGAGUCCUGCAUAUACAGCAACAGAACUGUGUUUUAAGCUUCAGUCAUUGAGCAGAUAAAUACAGGUUGAACUGCUACUUCUGUUAUGUUUAAUUUCUAGUCAAUGAAUGAAAAGAUCUGUGAAGAAAAUCGUAGCUAAAUGGUUCCUAAUCUUAUUAUGAGAGAACAAAAAGCUUUAGAAAUGAAGGUUGUUUGCAUUAGGGGCUACUAAGCUAGUGACAUGAAAUUGUUGUACAACUACUACCUUACUACUGAAGCUUCCUUUAACAUUCAUUUUAGCAGAGCUUAAGGUUGAAACAAAAUAGGAGCUGAAGAUACUGUGACUAGAGUAUAUGACUAUAGAUAUCCUUAAUUUUUUCCUAUUAGCAAUUUUAUUUGAAUAAUGAGAACCACUGUGGUCUUUCUUGUGCCCAGGCAUCCGUCUGUGUCUUCCCAUCUGUCCCCUUUCCACAUAACAUCAUGGUUACCAAGCCUCCAUCUGAGAAUUAGGUUUAAUAAAAUUAAAUAAAACAUAA